GCCAGUGAUAAACUGGAGGAAGGUGGGGAUGACGUCAAGUCAUCAUGGCCCUUACGACCAGGGCUACACACGUGCUACAAUGGCAUAUACAAAGAGAAGCGACCUCGCGAGAGCAAGCGGACCUCAUAAAGUAUGUCGUAGUCCGGAUUGGAGUCUGCAACUCGACUCCAUGAAGUCGGAAUCGCUAGUAAUCGUAGAUCAGAAUGCUACGGUGAAUACGUUCCCGGGCCUUGUACACACCGCCCGUCACACCAUGGGAGUGGGUUGCAAAAGAAGUAGGUAGCUUAACCUUCGGGAGGGCGCUUACCACUUUGUGAUUCAUGACUGGGGUGAAGUCGUAACAAGGUAACCGUAGGGGAACCUGCGGUUGGAUCACCUCCUUA
rnacentral:rRNA from 1 species